rnacentral:lncRNA from 1 species
CGAAUUUUGCUCUCCUCCAUAGCUGGGGUUUCUUCAAUUUCCAAGCUCCAUAGUAAGUGAUUCCAAGCCCCGUUUUUAAUGAUCUUUACGUUUUUGGAGUCCCGGUAACUUGAUUAAGCUUAUUCUAGCAAUAAUUCAACCUAGGGUUCAUAUUUGGAAAAAUACCCAUAGAUGAAAUUUGUGUAUUUUGGUGUUUUAUUAUAGAAUAUGAGGUUUUAAAUUAUGUUAGACAACUUGUGCUACUCGGUUUUAAGUGAAAACGAGUAAAAUGGCUUAAUUGGUAAAAAUACCUAAUAGUCAUAAGUACAUGUUAGAGUGUGAAUUUGAUGUUGCCGUAGAAGGGAAAAAUGAUCAGCAUGUCAUAAAACAUAAGAAAAUAGGAUGAAGUUUAAUUUACGAGCCUUGGGGCAAAAGUGCAAAUAUGUGAAAGUUUAGAGGCAAAAAUGUAAUUUUGCCAAAGUUUGAGUCACGGACUGUUUUAAUACAUGUGAGUAUUAAAAAAGCUAAAUUUUUUAUAUAGAUCAAGAAGAACAAAAUCUGGAGUUAGACCGAGGAAAGAAGAAGAUAGUGGACUAAAUCGAUAUAGUUGAUCGUAUUUUGUUUUGAGGUAAGUUUGCGGUAAAUAAAUGUAAUAUUCUAUUAUUUUAUGUUAAUUUUGUUAAUUUCCAGCAUGUGUAUAUUUAUUUUAUGAAAUUAUUCAAAGAAGACUCAAGCAUGAAUUGACGGAGAAGUAAUUUCAGAAAGUCCCGGUUGAACCUUAGGAAUGUGUAGGAUACAAAUGUCAUGACAUUAGGGUUUAAGGAUACCAUGUAAGACCAUGCUAAGGCAUGGCAAUUGGUAAGGUUUAUAAGGCAAGGAAAUCAUGUAAGACCAUGUCAAGACACGGCAUUGAUAAGUUACUAUAAGGCAAAGGUUCCAUGUAAGACCAUGCCAAGGCAUAGCAUUGGUGAGUUCAUAAGGCAAGGAUACCAUGUAAGACCAUGUCAAGACAUGGCAAUGGUAAGUUUCAAAAGGAUACCACGUAAGACCAUGACAAGUCAUGGCAAUGGUAAGGUACCCGUGUAUCCUUAGUAUUCCAAGUGGUUCAACAGGAAAAUUUAAAGAGAAUAUCGAGGUAAGGUAAGGUAAGACAAGUUCAUGCUAGAAGAGCAAAGGUAAGUACAUAAUGUUCAUGUAUGCUUGAUAAGGAAAAAGGUAAGUAAAAUGUAUUAAUAAAUUUGAUUAAGUAAGUAAGUAUUUAAGUAAGUGAGUAAGUGAAGAAGUUUAAAAUAUGUCUAUGACAAUUAAUGAAGCUGCAUUAAGUAGUAAGAUAAUUCUUAUGAAUGUUGUUAUUUAUUUGCAUGCAAACUUACUAAGCUUAAUGCUUACCCCCUUUAUUUUCCUUCUUUUUAUAGUUUUGUCAAGCUAACUCGGGGAUCGUAAAGUACGUCGGAGGUCCAGGCACACUAUCACAAGGGUAAUUUUGGUAUAGCUAGACGUUUCAUUUUGAGUAUGGCAUGUAUAGUAUCGUAGCCAUUUUGUGUGUAUGAUCUUAUGAUAUGGCUGAUGAAUGGUAUGUAAAUGUUUGAUAAUUAUUAGCUGUUGGAAUGGCUAAUCAAGGACAUGUUUGGUGUUAUGUAUGUGUAAAUGCUAGUUAUUCCAUGGAAAUCAUGAAAAAGGUGAAAUUAGCACAAAACAGAAUCAGACAGUAGCAGUGACGUGAAUUUGAAAAAUCACUAAAAAUAGUAGAACUAGAAUUAAAUGAUGAAUAAGUUAUGAAAUUAAAUAUUAUUAUGUCAAUUUUCAAAUGGAAGAGACAAAAUAGGUAAAUGAGUUAUACUUUAUGAGAUAUUUAAGUUUUUGUGAAACAGGGCCAGAGCGAUUUCUGGAUCCCCUUUUCUGAAUUCGGAAAUUAACCAUAAAUUGUAAAAAAAUUAUUAAGAGUCAUACCUUACAUGCAUGGAUUCCUUAUUGAGUCUAUUUUUAAGCGAAACAAACGGUAUGGUCAUUGAAAUUAUGUACAUGGAGAAAUUUGAUUCGUAGUGCACAGGGGUCAGAGUAGUCAUACCUUGAAACAGGGGAGACUUUAACUAAUAAACUGUACUAAAUGGCUCAACCAAAAAUUCUGGAAAUUUUAUGGAAGAAAUAUAAAUGAGUCUAGUUUCAGAGUAAAUUUACGGAAUUGGAUUUCGUAUUUUGGAACUCAAUAUAUGAAUUUUUAAGCGACUAGGACGUAGAUUGCCAGCUUGUCUGGAAGUUCUAAAACAAAUUGUUUGAGCUGUUUAAGUAAUGAAUUAAGUCCGUUAACACCUCGUGUUCGACUCCGGCGACGGUCUCGAUUACGGGCGUUACAUUUAUUGGUAUUAGAGCCAAGUUUUAGUCGGUUCUCGGAAUAUUUAGUAUGAGUAAGAGUCUAGCUAUACAUGUCAUACUUAUGUAUUGAUAGUGUGACGAAUCCUGACGAUUUUAAAAUGUUUUCUUUUAUAGUUAUGGAUCCCGAACAAGCUGGUGCAGAUGAUGUAGAGAGUAACGUGCCCGCUCCCACAGAAGGGACGGUGCCACCAAAUAGUAGUGAAAGGCCCAUUACAGUUAGUCAGGGAGGAGGGGCUCGAGAAGCCUUCUUCCAAGCUAUGAAUGAAUGGUUUGCUGAGUUCGUUCGGACGAAUCCGGCUGUUAGACCUCCACCCCUUCAUGAUCAUCAGACCACCCAUGUAGCUCCUCCAGUCACAGGUACGGUUAUAAGAGAAAAACCACCAGUUGAUAAAAUCAGAAAACAAGGAGCCGAAGAGUUUCGAGCUACAAAAGAUGAUGAUGCAGAAAAGGCAGAAUUUUGGCUCGAGAAUACUAUCAGAGUCUUUGAUGAGUUAUCCUGCACACCUGAGGAAUGUAUGAAAUGUGUUGUAUCACUCCUUAGAGAUUCGGCCUACCAUUGGUGGAAGACACUUGUAUCAGUUGUACCGAAAGAGAGAGUCACUUGGGACUUCUUUCAGGAGGAAUUCUGUAAAAAGUACAUCAGUCAGAGGUUUGUUGACCAGAAAAGAAAAGAGUUUCUAGAGUUGAAAUAGGGCAAUAUGACAGUGACUGAAUAUGAGCGCGAGUUUGUUAGACUCAGCAGUUAUGCUCGAGAGUGUGUGUCUACAGAGGCUAUUAUGUGCAAAAGAUUUGAGGAUGGGCUUAAUGAUGAUAUCCGAUUGUCUGUUGGUGUCCUAGAAAUAAAAGAAUUUAUUAUCCUAGUUGAGAGAACCUGUAAGGCAGAGGAGCUGUUAAAAAGAAAGGGCAAAUUUGAAAUUGAGACACAAGACACGAAGAAAAGGCUAAUGAGCAAGUCAUUUCAGUCUACAUCCAAGAGGCCUAGAGAGUUCUCCACUAGAUCUAAUUUUUCAGCUGGAUAUUCUAGCCGAAACAGAGGCAGAAGAUUUAUGAGUCCGAAAGCUCAGACCACUUCGAUUGCAAGUGUUGGCAGUGUUCAGCUUGAUAGACCAGAGUGUCCCCGAUGUGGUCCACAUCACCCAGGUCAGUGUCGAGCAACUCAGACAGGUUGUUUCUGAUGUGGUGCACCAGACCAUUUUAUUCGAGAGUGUCCCGAGAUGAUAAAAAGAGAAGCAACACCGAGUGUAAGAUCAGGAAAAGUUUCUGUCAGAGGCAGACCACUGAGAAAUCUGGGAGUUGGGGAAAAUAAUAGAGGUUCAUCUAGAGAUUUAGCAGUGAGGCCAGAUGUUAGAGCACCUGCAAGGACUUAUGCUAUCCGUGCUCGCGAGGAGGCAUCCUCCCCCGAUGUGAUUACGGGUACAUUUUCUCUCCAUGAUGCUAGAGUUAUUGCUUUGAUUGAUCCGGGUUCAACCCACUCAUAUGUUUGCAUGAAAUUGAUGCCUAGUAUGAGUAUGCCUAUAGAAUCUACAGAAUUUGUGAUUAAAGUAUCGAAUCCAUUAGGCAAACAUGUAUUAGUAGAUAAAAUAUGUAGAAAUUGCCCUUUGAUAAUUAGAUGCUACUGUUUUCCGGCUGAUCUCAUGCUAUUGCCAUUUGAUGAGUUUGAUGUGAUUCUUGGUAUGGAUUGGUUGACUACACAUGAUGUGAUAGUGAAUUGUGGAAAGAAAUUCAUUGAAUUGAAAUGUGAAAAUGGUAAAGAUUCUAACUCGAGAGGUAAAGCAAUUAAGGAACAAAUAUAUUGCACUUGUGAAAGUACUAUGGAAUAGACAUGGGGUAGACGAGGCUACAUGGGAGCCCGAAGAGGCUAUGUGAAAAUAGUACCCAAAUCUCUUCACAGGUAAGAUUUUUGGGGACGAAAAUCCCUAAAAGGGGGGAGAAAUGUAACAUCCCGAAAUAGGGCCUAGACGGAACAGUGGUUGCGAAACCAUAAAUCUGAGAUAGAAAUAAUUAUUUUAUAAUUAUUUUGAGGUUUAUGAUAUAAUUGCAUGAUUGUGUGAAAAUUUCGUGAUGAAAUUCUAUGCAUAAAGUGCUUAAGUUGAGAUUAGGGACUAAAUCAAAUAAUUCGCAAAACUUGCAUUCUAGAAGUUUUUAAUAUGAAAUUGCUUUCGAAUAUUAAUGAGGAGGUCUUAAAUAGCAAUCUGACCAAUUUCUAAGUCUAUGGACAAAAAUUAGACAUGGAUGGAAUUUUUGGAAAGUUUAGUAGUAAGGGCAUUUUGGUCAUUUGGAUAUUAAAUGAAAUAACACAAAAAUGGUCAUCUUCUCAAUUAGUUGCUGCCGAAUUUUGCUCUCCUCCAUAGCUGGGGUUUCUUCAAUUUUCAAACUCCAUAGUAAGUGAUUCCAAGCCUCGUUUUUAAUGAUCUUUACGUUUUUGGAAUAAGCUUAAUCAAGUUACCUGGACUCCAAAAACGUAAAGAUCAUUAAAAACGGGGCUUGGAAUCACUUACUAUGGAGUUUGAAAAUUGAAGAAACCCCAGCUAUGGAGGAGAGAAAAAUUCGGCAGCAACUAAUUGAGAAGAUGACCAUUUUUGUGUUAUUUUUCCCAUUUUUAUUUCAUUUAAUAUCCAAAUGACCAAAAUGCCCUUACUACUAAACUUUCCAAAAAUUCCAUCCAUGUCCAAUUUUUGUCCAUAGACUUAGAAAUUGGUCAUAUUUCUAUUUAAGACCCCCUCAUUAAUAUUCUAAAGCAAUUUCAUACUAAAAACUUCUAGAAUGCAAGUUUUGCGAAUUAUUCGAUUUAGUCCCUAAUUUCAACUUAAGCACUUUAUGCAUAGAAUUUCAUCACGAAAUUUUCACACAAUCAUGCAAUCAUAUCAUAGUCCUCAAAAUAAUUAUAAAAUAAUUAUUUCUAUCUCAGAUUUGUGAUUUCAUAACCACUGUUCCGUCUAGGCCCUAUUUCGGGAUGUUACAUUUCUCCCCCCUUUAGGGAUUUUCGUCCCCAAAAAUCUUACUUGUGAAGAGAUUUGGGUACUUUUUCUCAUAGCCUCUUCGGGCUCCCAUGUAGCCUCGUCUACCCCAUGUCUAUUCCAUAGUACUUUCACAAGUACAAUACUUUUGUUCAUUAAUUGCUUUACCUCUCGAGUUAGAAUCUUUACCAUUUUCACAUUUCAACUCAAUGAAUUUCUUUCCACAAUUCACUAUCACAUCAUGUGUAGUCAACCAAUCCAUAACAAGAAUCACAUCAAACUCAUCAAAUGGCAAUAGCAUGAGAUCGGCCCGAAAACAGUAGCCUCUAAUCAUCAAAGGGCAAUUUCUACAUAUUUUAUCUACUAAUACAUGCUUGCCUAAUGGAUUCGAUACUUUAAUCACAAAUUCUGUAGAUUCUAUAGGCAUACUCAUACUAGGCAUCAAUUUCAUGCAAACAUAUGAGUGGGUUGAACCCGAAUCAAUCAAAGUAAUAACUCUAGUAUCAUGGAGAGAAAAUGUACCCGUAAUCACAUCGGGAGAGGAUGCCUCCUCGCGAGCACGGAUAGCAUAAGUCAUCGCAGGUGCUCUAACAUCUGGCCUCACUGCUAAAUCUCUAGAUGCACCUCUAUUAUUUUCCCCAACUCCCAGAUUUCUCAGUGGUCUGCCUCUGACAGAAGCUUUUCCUGAUCUUACACUCGGUGUUGCUUCCCUUUUUAUCAUCUCGGGACACUCUCGAAUAAAAUGGUCUGGUGCACCACAUCGGAAACAACCUGUCUCAGUUGCUUGACACUAACCUGGGUGAUGUCGACCACAUCGGGGACACUCUGGUCUAUCAGGCUGAACACUGGCAACACUUGCAAUCGAAGUGGUCUGAGCUUUCGGACUCAUAAAUCUUCUGCCUCUGUUUCGGCUAGAAUAUCCAGCUGAAAAAUUAGAUCUAGUGGAGAACUCUCUAGGCCUCUUGGAUGUAGACUGAAAUGACUUGCUCAUUAGUCUUUUCUUCGUGUCUUGUGUCUCAAUUUCAAAUUUGCCCUUUCUUUUUAACAGCUCCUCUGCCUUACAGGUUCUCUCAACUAGGAUAACAAAUUCUUUUAUUUCUAGGACACCAACAGACAAUCGGAUAUCAUCAUUAAGCCCAUCCUCAAAUCUUUUGCACAUAAUAGCCUCUAUAGACACACACUCUCGAGCAUAACUGCUGAGUCUAACAAACUCGCGCUCAUAUUCAGUUACUGUCAUAUUGCCCUAUUUCAACUCUAGAAAAUCUUUUCUUUUCUGGUCAACAAACCUCUGACUGAUGUACUUUUUACGGAAUUCCUCCUAAAAGAAGUCCCAAGUGACUCUCUCUUUCGGUACAACUGAUACAAGUGUCUUCCACCAAUGGUAGGCCGAAUCUCUAAGGAGUGAUACAACACAUUUCAUACAUUCCUCAGGUGUGCAGGAUAACUCAUCAAAGACUCUGAUAGUAUUCUCGAGCCAAAAUUCUGCCUUUUCUGCAUCAUCAUCUUUUGUAGCUCGAAACUCUUCGGCUCCUUGUUUUCUGAUUUUAUCAACUGGUGGUUUUUCUCUUAUAACCGUACCUGUGACUGGAGGAGCUACAUGGGUGGUCUAAUGAUCAUGAAGGGGUGGAGGUCUAACAGCCGGAUUCGUCCGAACGAACUCGGCAAACCAUUCAUUCAUAGCUUGGAAGAAGGCUUCUCGAGCCCCUCCUCCCUGACUAACUGUAAUGGGCCUUUCACUACUAUUUGGUGGCACCGUCCCUUCUGUGGGAGUGGGCACGUUACUCUCUACAUCAUCUGCACCAGCUUGUUCGGGAUCCAUAACUAUAAAAGAAAACAUUUUAAAAUCGUCAGGAGUCGUCACACUAUCAAUACAUAAGUAUGGCAUGUAUAGCUAGACUCUUACUCAUACUAAAUAUUCCGAGAACCGACUAAAACUUGGCUCUGAUACCAAUAAAUGUAACGCCCGUACCCGAGACCGUCGCCGGAGUCGAACACGAGGUGUUAACGGACUUAAUUCAUUACUUAAACAGCUCAAACAAUUUGUUUUAGAACUUCCAGACAAGCUGGCAAUCUACGUCCUAGUCGCUUAAAAAUUCAUAUAUUGAGUUCCAAAAUACGAAAUCCAAUUCCGUAAAUUUACUCUGAAACUAGACUCAUUUAUAUUUCUUCCAUAAAAUUUCCAGAAUUUUUGGUUGAGCC